UACGAGGGGGGCGAGCGUUGUUCGGAAUUAUUGGGCGUAAAGGGCGCGUAGGCGGUCGGAUAAGUCUUGUGUGAAAUCUUCGGGCUCAACUCGAAGUCUGCACAGGAAACUAUCUGGCUUGAGUGUGGGAGAGGUGAGUGGAAUUCCUGGUGUAGCGGUGAAAUGCGCAGAUAUCAGGAGGAACACCGGUGGCGAAGGCGGGUCUCUGGGCCGUUACUGACGCUGAGGAGCGAAAGCGUGGGGAGCGAACAGG
rnacentral:rRNA from 1 species